GACGUAGGGUGCAAGCGUUGUCCGGAUUUAUUGGGCGUAAAGAGCUCGUAGGCGGCUCGUCGCGUCGACUGUGAAAACUCGGGGCUUAACCUCGGGCUUGCAGUCGAUACGGGCGGGCUAGAGUUCGGUAGGGGAGACUGGAAUUCCUGGUGUAGCGGUGAAAUGCGCAGAUAUCAGGAGGAACACCGGUGGCGAAGGCGGGUCUCUGGGCCGAUACUGACGCUGAGGAGCGAAAGCGUGGGGAGCGAACAGG
rnacentral:rRNA from 1 species